AUCUAUGGCUGUGCUACCCUGAACAAGCCUGGUCCCGUCUGAUCUCGGAAGCUAAGCAGGGUUGGGCCUGGUUAGUACUUGGAUGGGAGACCAUCUAGGAAGACCAGGUGCUGUGGGAA
ensembl:rRNA 5S_rRNA 5S ribosomal RNA